AUUAGGGACUAGGGGUGGGGAUGAUGAAGGCAGGGGCUGCUCCUGUAGCUGAGAUCUGGGGUUGACCUUCGGAGUCAGUGUGGGGAGGUCAGAGAGGAGGAAUGCAACUUCUCAGAGAUUUAUAGCCAGCUUGUGACAUAGCAUGGAUUGGUGGUCUGCUAUUACAGAACCAUGGGAUUAAAAGUUUCAUAUUGGAAGUGCAGUGUGAGUGGAAGGAAGACCUUCAUCCUGGAGGAUGCUCUGCUUGGCCUGGAUGCUGCCCAGCAGAAGCCCCAGCAAGACUGUUUUCAGCAGGAAUUCCCCAGGUUUGAUGACAUCAUUCUGCUCGCUGUCCCAG
ensembl:processed_transcript 1500017E21Rik RIKEN cDNA 1500017E21 gene